rnacentral:rRNA from 1 species
CUGACGAGUGGCGGACGGGUGAGUAAUGUCUGGGAAACUGCCUGAUGGAGGGGGAUAACUACUGGAAACGGUAGCUAAUACCGCAUAACGUCGCAAGACCAAAGAGGGGGACCUUCGGGCCUCUUGCCAUCGGAUGUGCCCAGAUGGGAUUAGCUUGUUGGUGGGGUAACGGCUCACCAAGGCGACGAUCCCUAGCUGGUCUGAGAGGAUGACCAGCCACACUGGAACUGAGACACGGUCCAGACUCCUACGGGAGGCAGCAGUGGGGAAUAUUGCACAAUGGGCGCAAGCCUGAUGCAGCCAUGCCGCGUGUAUGAAGAAGGCCUUCGGGUUGUAAAGUACUUUCAGCGGGGAGGAAGGGAGUAAAGUUAAUACCUUUGCUCAUUGACGUUACCCGCAGAAGAAGCACCGGCUAACUCCGUGCCAGCAGCCGCGGUAAUACGGAGGGUGCAAGCGUAAUCGGAAUUACUGGGCGUAAAGCGCACGCAGGCGGUUUGUUAAGUCAGAUGU